GAGUUUGAUCCUGGCUCAGAACGAACGCUGGCGGCGUGCUUAACACAUGCAAGUCGAACGUGGUUGAGAGCUUGCUCUCAUGAAAGUGGCGCACGGGUGAGUAACACGUGGAUAAUCUGCCUGGCGAUUCGGGAUAACACUUCGAAAGGGGUGCUAAUACCGGAUAAGCCCACGGACUCUUAGGGGUUUGCGGGAAAAGGGGGCCUCUGUAUAUGCUCCUGUCGCUAGAUGAGUCCGCGGCUCAUUAGCUAGUUGGUAGGGUAAUGGCCUACCAAGGCGACGAUGGGUAGCUGGUCUGAGAGGAUGAUCAGCCACACUGGAACUGAGACACGGUCCAGACUCCUACGGGAGGCAGCAGUGGGGAAUUUUGCGCAAUGGGCAAAGCCUGACGCAGCAACGCCGCGUGAGUGAUGAAGGCCUUCGGGUCGUAAAGCUCUGUCAGUGGGGAAGAACCGCCGGGUGGUUAAUACCUGCCUGGUCUGACGGUACCCACAAAGGAAGCACCGGCUAACUCCGUGCCAGCAGCCGCGGUAAUWCAAGGRCGCAUUGGAAACACCUAUUCCAUGAUUCCGGAUYCWCWGSCCGUCGCGUACAGCCAAUGAAACAGCUUAAWCAUGSG
rnacentral:rRNA from 1 species